rnacentral:rRNA from 1 species
CACCUCUAGCAUUUCUAGUAUUAGAGGCACUGCCUGCCCAGUGACAUCUGUUUAAACGGCCGCGGUAUCCUAACCGUGCAAAGGUAGCAUAAUCACUUGUUCCCUAAAUAGGGACUUGUAUGAACGACCACACGAGGGUUUUACUGUCUCUUACUUCCAAUCAGUGAAAUGGACCUUCCCAUGAAGAGGCGGGAAUAACCAAAUAAGACGAGAAGACCCUAUGGAGCUUUAAUUAACUGACUCACAAAAAAUAAUAUACAAACCUAACCCUCAGGAACAACAAAACUUUUGAUUGAGUCAGCAAUUUCGGUUGGGGUGACCUCGGAGAACAAAACAACCUCCGAGUGAUUUAAAUCCAGACUAACCAGUCAAAAUAUAUAAUCACUUAUUGAUCCAAACCAUUGAUCAACGGAACAAGUUACCCUAGGGAUAACAGCGCAAUCCUAUUCCAGAGUCCAUAUCGACAAUUAGGGUUUACGACCUCGAUGUUGGACCAAGACAUCCUAAUGGUGCAACCGCUAUUAAGGGUUCGUUUGUUCAACGAUUAAAGUCUU